UGGAUAGCCGGCCCCGCCAACCCAGUGUUCAGACUACCUGUUCAGGAGGCUCUCAAUGUGUACAGUAGUCUGCACAUUGGUUAGGCUGGGCUUGGGUGAGCG
rnacentral:pre_miRNA from 10 species